rnacentral:rRNA from 1 species
AGAGUUUGAUUAUGGCUCAGGAUGAACGCUAGUUACAGGCUUAACACAUGCAAGUCGAGGGGCAGCGAGAGUGUAGCAAUACACUUGUCGGCGACCGGCGCACGGGUGAGUAACGCGUAUCCAACCUGGCCCAUAGUAGGGGAUAGCCCGGCGAAAGUCGGAUUAAUACCCUAUGUUUUCCUUUGAGAGCAUUUGAAGAGGAACAAAGAUUCAUCGCUAUGGGAUGGGGAUGCGUCCGAUUAGCUUGCCGGCGGGGUAACGGCCCACCGGGGCUACGAUCGGUAGGGGUUCUGAGAGGAAGGUCCCCCACAUUGGUACUGAGACACGGACCAAACUCCUACGGGAGGCAGCAGUGAGGAAUAUUGGUCAAUGGGCGCGAGCCUGAACCAGCCAAAGUAGCGUGCAGGAAGACGGCCCUACGGGUUGUAAACUGCUUUUGCCGGGGAAUAAAGUGCGCCACGUGUGGUGUUUUGUAUGUACCCGGAGAAUAAGGACCGGCUAAUUCCGUGCCAGCCGCCGC